UGGGGGUUCUGGGAAUUGAACCCAUGGACUCUAUAAGAGCAGUGAAUACUUUGAGUCAUUUCUCCAGCCCCUCAGCCUUAUUUGAAAAAAUACCAGAGGAAUAAAAAUGACUACGCAUUUUUCUUAUGUAUGUAUGUAUGUAUGUAUGUAUGUAUGUAUGUAUGUAUUUUACCUUGCUACUAGGGAUGGUUCCUAGGACCUCAAAGUGCUGGUCAUGUGCUCUACCACUGGGCUAAAUCCUC
rnacentral:sRNA from 1 species